AUGGUGAGAUGCUUGGCUUAUGGAUCCGUUCAUUGGCUAGUGGAGGAGGGUUGUGUGAAUAAGUUAUAUAUAAAACUUGGGUUAGGUAUCCGUCGGAUCGUAUUUAUGAUGUUAUGGAAUAAAAAACAUGUUUUAUUUAGUUGUCAAGAAGAGAGCAUCUAUAACUGGAUUUACCAAAUCCGCCCCCUAGACAUCCAUGGAUGCGCCUGGUCAGUGUCUGAUUGUAUCCGUUCUAAGCCAUUUUUUGUCUGUGCAUGCAGUCAUGUUCCACAUUUUCUCCCUCACUUGCAUGUUAUUGGUGGAGAUGAAGAGGAAGAAAGAAAAGAAAGAAAAAUGGACCGUGUCCGCGAGCCCACAUAUCCUCUCCAUAUAUGA
rnacentral:rRNA from 1 species